AGUCUUCGGUUCGGCCGGACGAAACACAGGUGCUGCAUGGCUGUCGUCAGCUCGUGUCGUGAGAUGUUGGGUUAAGUCCCGCAACGAGCGCAACCCUCACUUUUAGUUGCCAUCAUUUAGUUGGGUACUCUAAAAGAACUGCCAGUGAUAAGCUGGAGGAAGGUGGGGAUGACGUCAAGUCCUCAUGGCCCUUAUGAGUUGGGCUACACACGUGCUACAAUGGUACUUACAAUGAGAUGCUAAGAGGCGACUCUAAGCCAAUCCCAAAAAUGUACCUCAGUUCGGAUUGUACUCUGCAACUCGAGUACAUGAAGCUGGAAUUGCUAGUAAUCGCAGAUCAGCGCGCUGCGGUGAAUACGUUCCCGGGUCUUGUACACACCGCCCGUCACACCAUGGAAGUUGGUUACACCUUAAGGCAAAGCAUAAAACCUUUGACUACGGUACGAUCAGCGACUGGGGUGAAGUCGUAACAAGGUAGCCGUAGGGGAACCUGCGGCUGGAUCACCUCCUUU
rnacentral:rRNA from 1 species